rnacentral:lncRNA from 1 species
GAAGAAAGAAAAGCUUCAGUUUUAUUAUUAGUAAUAAUUAGAAAUGAGAAAUCAUUUAAAAAAUUUUAAUUAAACAAAAAACAAAAUUCAUAUAAAGUAUUUUAUUCAGCACCAAUAUAAUUCUAUCAAUGUGUAUAAUUGAAAACCCUAGGAGUCGGUUUAACAUUUAAGUAACAAAACUAUGAUAAAGAAGAGAAUGAGAAUAUCAAUUUUUUGGUUUUGUGAAUUUUCAAAGACCAAUAACAGAGUUAAAAGUAAAACUUAAUUUAGUGGAAAGAUUUUAGAGGGAUAAAAAAGAAAAAUAGAUCAUGUUUGAUCCAGCCAAAUUUAAACAAGAAAAGAUAAAAGAUAUGAGAAAUUAAUCGAUAAUUUAUGUCUGAAAAAUCUUAUUCACAGUCUUAAAGAAAAGCUAUUUUCUAAGUAUGGAACAAUAAUAUUUCUAAAAGCUAUGCCAACGUAAAGAGUGAACUAACAUAUAGGUUUUCAUGUAACUAAUUCAACUAUGUGAAUUGGGUUGUUCCAAAUUUUAUCAUGUAAUUAGUUUUUUAUAAAUAAAUGUCUG